rnacentral:rRNA from 1 species
UGGGGAAUUUUGGACAAUGGGCGAAAGCCUGAUCCAGCCAUGCCGCGUGCAGGAUGAAGGCCUUCGGGUUGUAAACUGCUUUUGUACGGAACGAAAAGACUCCUUCUAAUAAAGGGGGUCCAUGACGGUACCGUAAGAAUAAGCACCGGCUAACUACGUGCCAGCAGCCGCGGUAAUACGUAGGGUGCACGCGUUAAUCGGAAUUACUGGGCGUAAAGCGUGCGCAGGCGGUUAUGUAAGACAGAGGUGAAAUCCCCGGGCUCAACCUGGGAACUGCCUUUGAUACUGGAAGUCUGGAGUAUGGAAGAGGUAAGGGGAAUUACGAGUGUAGAGGUGAAAUUCGUAGAGAUUCGGAGGAACACCAGUGGCGAAGGCAAUCCCCUGGGCCUGCAAUGACGCUCAUGCACGAAAGCGUGGGGAGCAAACA